GAGUCAGCCUACAAACCUUAUCUCACAGCUUGGCGCAUAACUCAGUAAGUAUGCGAAUCUGACACGACCCCUUUUUUCUCGUUCCGAGGAGGGUUGGACUGCAAGCCCUUUGACAGUUCUACAUUAGUCAAUCUCUUCUUCCUUAAUCCCAAAUUACGACCACUGCAGGCUUAUCGAUUGGAUUCUUGGAAAAUCCAAAUGCUUUUUUUCAACCUCUUGUGCUUAUCAAUCAGUUCUCCAACUGCAGCCAUUGCGAAAAUUUGUUCAUCUGCCUCGCCUAAGUAAUUGGCAAUAUAUCCAAUUUUUGCAGAAAUAUUCUAAUUGGCAAUGGCAACCGGGUUAAGCUUAUUAGAGAUCCAAAGAAACGAACUCGUGUUCUGGCAAGUGAGCACAGCCAGAUUGCGGUUAGCUAGAAAGCGGAAGUAGUGUCAGUUUUUUACAAGAUUUGGAAAAUGCAGCAACGACGAUGGAAAAUGCCCAUAUAUUCAUCAUCCCUCCAAAAUUGCAGCUUCCACAAAGUUUCUGAAUGCUCUAUGUUUCAAAGUAGCGGUCGUGGUAGUCAAGUAAACGGUGCGGCUUGAAUUUGCUCUGUCCUUUUAACUCUGCUUAUGAAAUAAAAUAGCAAGAAAAAUGUGCAGCAUGGCCAGUAGGUUGGCCAAAGACCGUUAGGUUUUACCGGUAAUUCAAAUAAAAAACUCCCGGGAAAUUAAAAUUACAUGCGCCGCCAAGAAUCCCAAACACAAAAGAGAGAAAAAAAAAAAUUAGCACAAUCUUCAAUCUUUUCAUGGAAGAAUUAGAGGAAUAUCAUUUGAGAAAAUAUAAGGGAUAUAUUUCUCCGUCAUCAUCUCCUCCAACUCCACCGUCUCCUCUUCCCAUAAGCGUUGGACCCGGCAACCAAAGGUACUCGUUUUCAUCAUCUCCGUCACCUUCGCCGCCCUUUUCACCACCUGCUUCCGGCCAUGGCUCUGCUGAUAAUCUCCCCUUCUUGCUUGAAAGCUUGCCCAUUUCCCUACCACCAUCCGCAUUUUCUUUGGAUAGAAGAGCUCCGGAUCAAGUAUCCAGUGGUGAUUUCAAUUCCUGCCUUAAAGAAUUGUUAGGUUGGUUUGUAGUAACAUGCUGCAGCUGCUUUUCUUGGUCUUCCCAAAUCCUUGAUCGAAGAUUCAUCAAGAGGCACAGCGAAUGAAAACAGAGUUAAACAGCCAUUUCCACAGUUAUUCCUCUACAAUCAGAGGACAAAUUUCUUAUAAUAUUUAAUUCUCAAUAGUUAGAUGAUUCAUUUGUGCAGGGCUUUGCAGUUGUUACAUGAUUGUACUAACUAGAAUACGGACGGUACACAUGUAUGAUUGAAACAUUGCAACAAUACUCUUGAAAAUUUUCUAAUAUUCUAUA